UACGUAGGGUGCAAGCGUUGUCCGGAAUUAUUGGGCGUAAAGAGCUCGUAGGCGGUUUGUCGCGUCGGCUGUGAAAACUCGGGGCUCAACCCCGAGCCUGCAGUCGAUACGGGCAGACUAGAGUGCUGUAGGGGAGACUGGAAUUCCUGGUGUAGCGGUGAAAUGCGCAGAUAUCAGGAGGAACACCGGUGGCGAAGGCGGGUCUCUGGGCCGAAACUGACGCUGAGGAGCGAAAGCGUGGGGAGCGAACAGG
rnacentral:rRNA from 1 species